rnacentral:misc_RNA from 1 species
AGUGAGGCCGUGACGGUGCGCGUCGUGGUCGGCGAAAUCAACGGACAAGUGAGCUUUGCGAGUUUAUAGUGUAGAUAACGCAUAGCGGAAUAAAGACGAUAAAAAUGGCGUAGUCGUCUCGCUGACUGGCGCAAUGUUGCGAUCGUCGUUAAUUCGCCUUAGUUCGAAUAGUACCGAUUAUAAUAUCGAUAAUAAUUGCGACCGCGAAAGAGCGCUAAAAAAAGUGGCUGUUGAUAAACGGUACAUUCUCCAAAGUGAAGUAAACGAUGAAUAUUUGGCGCAUUAAAACGUGUGUUUGAAAGAGAGCAAAGGAGGAACGAUUCCUGGUCAAUAAUCAGACACCGUAGAAUACAGUGAAUACCUUGUGAAUUAUCAUAUUGUUGAGGCGUGUCGGUGAUAUUAUGUCUGCGCGGUGGUUGCGAGUAGUUAGUUUAAAUCGGAAUGGCUGUAAUUGUUUAUCAGAAUCGAUUGAGCCGAAGUAUCGUCAAGGUUUUAAGCAGGGAAUCGAAACCCUUGGAUGUUACACGAAGAUCGUCGUGAAAAAGAAGUGACAGAAUUAUGAAAUUGUGAUUAUUCAUCGAGCUCCGUUUGAUUGAAAAAUAUAUUAUUCUACAUACUUAGUUUUUAUACUUUUCACCACUGACAGAUAGACGACCUUGCAACAGGCAUAAGAUGGCGCUAGUUGUGUUUUGACAUACCAUCACGUUUCGUCAGCUGGAUUUUACAUACGUUUGUUGGGUUUAUUUAUUAUGAACAGAGAAUUCUACGUCCCUUGUGCACCGUACGCAUAUCCGCAAUGUAGCAGUGGAUCGACGGAGGGUGGUGUUAUAAGCGGAGGCGGUGGUAUGGACUGUCUGCCUCUUCGACCUGGACCAUUCCAUUACCUGAUAAGUGAACAGGCAAAGUCUUUGGUGGCCCUACAGGAGCUACAGAAUGAAGUCGGCGCCCUUCUCGAGUUCCGGGACCUCGUCAUCGAGACGUUCCCAAACCUCAGGCACAAGAUGGCCGCCUCGGCGUCCGCGUCUUCGGCGUCCGUGAUGUCCUCGACAACCAACAUUCCGCUACCCCUUACUAGCCCAUCGUCCCGACGUAUCGCCGAAUGGGAACCGGGCAGAGUCAGACGACGAAUACCUGCUAGGGAAGGAGAACCGUCAUCGUCGCUACCGAGAAGUCGGAGCAAUUCACAUAGCGGCGGCAAUAAACACAGUGCUACGGUACAGGACUCCGGUUUCAGUACGGAAACUUCUUCUAAGGAUAGCGCUUCAACGGCCAUACCGAGGCCAGCUAGUCCGCGCCCAAUCCUGGACGAAGCGGAGGAUGAACUUUGGAAUCUUCUUGACGUUAUCCACCGGCGAGGGACCCGGCUCAGGGAGGAAGUUGAGUGUCUUCAAGGUAGAUUGGAAAGCGCCGCACCGGAGGAACUUGGCUUAUCGACUGAUGUUCUUGAGGCUGUGAAAAAGGUCGCUAGACCAGAAGAAGCUAGGGCUGAAGAAGAGGAAAAAGUUCAGAUCUUAGAACUGAGAAGGGAGAGGGAACAUUUACUCGAUAAAGUCACCGAACUUGAAGCAGAGACUAUAUCGAGCCGCGUACGUGCUCAGGAAUUGCAAUCUGAGUUGGAGGCGUUAUCGGUAUUGAGAAAUGGUCUGGAAGAUCGACUCAGAGCUGAGAUAGACUCUAAAACGGAAAUAUACGCUCCCGGCGCUCAGAGAAUAGUUCCGCUUAGUCCACCACCGAUAUCUUCGCCAAAGUCUCCCGGUAAUAUCAGAAGCAAUGUAUCGGCUUUUGCUUCCGUCGUUUCGAACAAAUCUCAUAAAAAUCGAUUCAGAACUAGGACUAUCGAAAAAAAUGUUCUCGCUAAUAUUACCCAGCCAAUUAUCGGCAGUAAAGAGGGAAAAACCGAUAGUGAAAAUUACUCCGAAGCGGCAAGAGCCAGACUGGGGCAUUUAGAUUCUGUACUUAUUUCCCCAAAAGAUGUACGCAACGUGAAAAAUGUCGACUCGAAAAAAAUUGAGGCGAUAUUAAACGAAAAUUCAACACUGGAAUUACAGCGGCAUCUCAUCACCACUACCGUCCAUAAUCAGGUGUUGCAGGAGCGACUGAAUGAGGCUGACAAGACUUCGGGAUUGCUAACGGAACGUUUGGACAAAUCGCGAGAGGAAAACGACGACCUCCGAUUUCAGUUGGAGGAAAGAAAUAUUGAGUUGGAAGGCACGCGAGCUCGAGUGCGAGUUUUGGAGCGCCUCCAGCAUCGGCCACCGACAGAAAUGGAUCCGGGCGAAGGUGACAUUGAGUUGCCCCGAGGAAGCGAUCAGGGGUGCUUGGAGCCCGGUAGUAGCACUGAAUCCGCACGGGAUCACCACCAAGAAAUAAUACCUUCUCCUCGUCGCAGACCAAGUCGAAUCCCACUCCCUGGUUCGAAGCAAGCAGCUCCAAAACCACCCACCCACGGUCGUAACAACAGCAGAGAAUCGUUAAAAUCUCUGACGACGAGACAGCCACGUGAUUCUAGCCGGGAUAGUCUGGGCGGAAAGUCGUUUUCGAAAACAAGAGACUCGAGUCGCGAAUCGCUGAAUAAAAGUCUACCAAGAAAUUCGUCAACGCCUAUCGGAAAUGGAACUCUGAGUAAUAAUAAUAAAGAAGCUGGUAGCAAAGAUUCACUCAAUAAAUCGUUGCCCAGACAUAAUAAUAACUCGGGAAGAGAUUCUUUGAACAAAUCAUCGUCCCUUUCACGUGCCAGAGAACCAAGAGACUCUUUGGAGUCAAGUGGGAUUGGAGGGUCGCCGGGAACUCCUCCACGACGUCCUCCUGCACCUGCACGUCGUGCCCACAGUCUAGCUCGACCCUCCGUCGUUGAAUCUGACACAGGAAAGCACCAAUCAAUCAACCACCAUCCACUUCUACCAAAAGUCUGAUCUGGAGCGCAGCGAGUGUGCGUGCGUUCGAGCCCGUCCCCAAGUCGUCCAAAUGAAAAUGGCCAAAACAUAAUUGGCCCCUUCUCGCGUCAGUCCGUCCGUCGCUCUCUCGGGUUCACUGAUCCUCCGAGUUCUUGGUGUUCAACAAGUGGCAGCUUUAGACAUAGCGAGUCAUCGAUGUAUCCAGAUUCCUUAAACCAA